CGGAAAGGAAAGAGAGG
rnacentral:tRNA from 7 species